ACAGCGGCCUUCAGGGCCCGGCAUUUGCUGUUGCAGGCAGUAUCUGAACCUCAGUUACAAGGUGGAGCUGGCUCUGACUGGGAAGAGAGGCAAUUUUUGGUGGUUCCUGGGGGCAGGUGUGGACGAGGUGGUAGUGGGCCCACAGGGCAAGUACCCACACAGGGCAUCACACGAGUGCUGGAUUUGUUCCUCCCUCAGAUCCUUACCUCCUGCCUCCAGCAGCCUUGUCCUCCUUCUCUUUUAUUCCCCUUCACUUUUCUUCCUCCCUCUGGAGGACAAGAGCAACUCGCAGCUGGGUCUGUGCACCCUCAUCGUGCUGGGCACCCUGCAAGCCCUGGUGAGAGACAGAGCUAUGAUCAUGGGUCUGCAGUCAGAAGAGAUGUGAAGUUUCAGUCCACAAGGUGAAAUGAACAGAACACAUGUGGAGGUGAAGUGACAUGCUCAAGGGCAUCCCAAAACCCAGUGUCAGGGGUGUUAAGUGAAGAAAAGUCUCUUGAGUUCCUGUCUGGCACGCUGGCCAUCAGCUCACGUUUCCUCACCUUAUUCUAACAAACCACACUCUUCAUCUAGCAACAUGAAAGCUAUUGUGAACUAGAGCAGAGCCUCUUUAGAAUGAAAUGUAGUUAAAGCACCAAAUCUCCUUUGAGAAUGUAUUCUUAAAACAAUAAAAGUUUUUGGAGCAGUUUUGAUAAAGGAAAG
rnacentral:lncRNA from 1 species